rnacentral:rRNA from 1 species
ACUUUGAUAAAAUCAGAGUGUUCAAAGCAGGCGUCUUGCCUUGAAUGUUACCGCAAGGGAUAAUAGAAUAUGACUUCGGUCCUAUUUUGUUGGUUUCUAGGGCUGAAGUAAUGACUAAUAGGGACAGUUGGGGGCGCUCGUAUUGAGUUGUCAGAGGUGAAAUUCUAGGAUUUACUCAAGACGAACUACUGCGAAAGCAUUCGCCAAGGAUGUUUUCAUUAAUCAAGAACGAAAGUUGGGGGAUCGAAGAUGAUCAGAUACCGUCGUAGUCUCAACCAUAAACUAUGUGGGCCAACGAUCCGAGGAAGUUACAUGGAUGACUCUCCGGGCAGUUUGUGAGAAAUCAUAAGUAUUUGCAUUCCGGGGGGAGUAUGGUCGCAAGGCUGAAACUUAAAGGAAUUGACGGAAGGGCACCACCAGGAGUGGAACCUGCGGCUUAAUUUGACUCAACACGGGGAAACUUACCAGGUCCGGACACAGUUAGGAUUGACAGAUUGAGAGCUCUUUCUUGAUUCUGUGGGUGGUGGUGCAUGGCCGUUUUUAGUUGGUGGAGUGAUUUGUCUGGUUAAUUCCGUUAACGAACGAGACCUUAACCUAUUAAUUAGUUAUGCGAUCAUGAGCUUCGGCUCUUUCCGAUCGUGGACAACUUCUUAGAGGGACUCUCGGCAUCUCUAGCCGAUGGAAGUUUGAGGCUAAAACAGGUCUGUGAUGCCCUUAGAUGUCCUGGGCCGCACGCGCGUUACACUGACGAAUGCAACGAGUUCUUCCUUCUCCGAUGGGAGUGGGUAAGCUUUUCAAAGUUCGUCGUGAUGGGGAUUGAACCUUGCAAUUAUUGUUCAUGAACGAGGAAUUCCUAGUAAGCGCAGUUCAUCAAACUGCGUUGAUUACGUCCCUGCCCUUUGUACACACCACCCGUCGCUAGUACCGAUUGAAUGGUCCGGUGAGGAUUCAGGAUGGCAGAGCUUUAGCUUGCCCGAAAGGGUAAGCGGGUUCAGCCAGAAUCUGUUCAAACCGUGCCAUUUAGAGGAACUAAAAGUCGUAGCAAGGUUUCCGU